AGGUAAAUAAUAGUUAUUUAUCCGGAACAUAAAGGAAAUAAGAGCG
rnacentral:rRNA from 1 species